AACGAACGCUGGCAGCAGGCUUAACACAUGCAAGUCGAGCGCCCCGCAAGGGGAGCGGCAGACGGGUGAGUAACGCGUGGGAAUCUACCCAUCACUACGGAACAACUCCGGGAAACUGGAGCUAAUACCGUAUACGUCCUUCGGGAGAAAGAUUUAUCGGUGAUGGAUGAGCCCGCGUUGGAUUAGCUAGUUGGUGGGGUAAUGGCCUACCAAGGCGACGAUCCAUAGCUGGUCUGAGAGGAUGAUCAGCCACACUGGGACUGAGACACGGCCCAGACUCCUACGGGAGGCAGCAGUGGGGAAUAUUGGACAAUGGGCGCAAGCCUGAUCCAGCCAUGCCGCGUGAGUGAUGAAGGCCCUAGGGUUGUAAAGCUCUUUCGCAGGUGAAGAUAAUGACGGUAACCUGAGAAGAAGCCCCGGCUAACUUCGUGCCAGCCGCCGCGGUAACAC
rnacentral:rRNA from 1 species